AACGAACGCUGGCGGCAUGCCUAACACAUGCAAGUCGAACGAGACCUUCUGGUCCAGUGGCGCACGGGUGCGUAACGCGUAGGAACCUGCUCUUAGGUUCGGAAUAACUCCCCGAAAGGGGUGCUAACACCGGAUCACGUCUUCGGACCAAAGAUUUAUCGCCCUUGGAUGGGCCCGCGUUGGAUUAGCUAGUUGGUAGGGUAAAAGCCUACCAAGGCGACGAUCCAUAGCUGGUCUGAGAGGAUGAUCAGCCACACUGGGACUGAGACACGGCCCAGACUCCUACGGGAGGCAGCAGUGGGGAAUAUUGGACAAUGGGCGAAAGCCUGAUCCAGCAAUGCCGCGUGAGUGAUGAAGGCCUUAGGGUUGUAAAGCUCUUUUACCCGGGAUGAUAAUGACAGUACCGGGAGAAUAAGCUCCGGCUAACUCCGUG
rnacentral:rRNA from 1 species